GAUGAACGCUGGCGGCGUGCCUAAUACAUGCAAGUCGAGCGAACAGACGAGGAGCUUGCUCCUCUGACGUUAGCGGCGGACGGGUGAGUAACACGUGGAUAACCUACCUAUAAGACUGGGAUAACUUCGGGAAACCGGAGCUAAUACCGGAUAAUAUAUUGAACCGCAUGGUUCAAUAGUGAAAGACGGUUUUGCUGUCACUUAUAGAUGGAUCCGCGCCGCAUUAGCUAGUUUGUAAGGUAACGGCUUACCAAGGCGACGAUGCGUAGCCGACCUGAGAGGGUGAUCGGCCACACUGGAACUGAGACACGGUCCAGACUCCUACGGGAGGCAGCAGUAGGGAAUCUUCCGCAAUGGGCGAAAGCCUGACGGAGCAACGCCGCGUGAGUGAUGAAGGUCUUCGGAUCGUAAAACUCUGUUAUUAGGGAAGAACAAAUGUGUAAGUAACUAUGCACGUCUUGACGGUACCUAAUCAGAAAGCCACGGCUAACUACGUG
rnacentral:rRNA from 1 species